rnacentral:rRNA from 1 species
UUGACAUAGGGUGUCGCGGAUAUCAGAGAUGAUGUCUUUUCAGUUUCGGCUGGACACAUUACAAGGUGCUGCAUGGCUGUCGUCAGCUCGUGUCGUGAGAUGUUUGGGUUAAGUCCCGCAACGAGCGCAACCCUCGUCUUUAGUUACCAUCAGGUUUGGCUGGGUACUCUAGAGAGACUGCCGGUGAUAAACCGGAGGAAGGUGGGGAUGACGUCAAGUCCUCAUGGCCCUUAUGGGUUGGGCUACACACGUGCUACAAUGGCGGUGACAGUGAGCAGCGACGGGGCGACCCUAAGCUAAUCUCCAAAAGCCGUCUCAGUUCGGAUUGUACUCUGCAACUCGAGUGCAUGAAGUUGGAAUCACUAGUAAUCGUAGAACAGCAUGCUACGGUGAAUACGUUCUCGGGCCUUGUACACACCGCCCGUCAUACCAUGGGAGUUGAUCCUACUCUAAGCCGGCAAGCCAACCUUCGGGAGGCAGCCGACCACAGUGGGGUUAGCGACUGGGGUAAAGUCGUAACAAGGUA